rnacentral:rRNA from 1 species
GAUGAACGCUGGCGGCGUGCCUAAUACAUGCAAGUCGAGCGAACAGACGAGGAGCUUGCUCCUCUGACGUUAGCGGCGGACGGGUGAGUAACACGUGGAUAACCUACCUAUAAGACUGGGAUAACUUCGGGAAACCGGAGCUAAUACCGGAUAAUAUAUUGAACCGCAUGGUUCAAUAGUGAAAGACGGUUUUGCUGUCACUUAUAGAUGGAUCCGCGCCGCAUUAGCUAGUUGGUAAGGUAACGGCUUACCAAGGCAACGAUGCGUAACCGACCUGAGAGGGUGAUCCGCUACCUGGGAACUGAGAAUGGGUCCAGACUCCUACGGGGGGCAGCGGUAGGGACUCUUCCGCAAUGGACGAAUGCCUGACGGAGCAAAGCGGCGGGAGUGAUGACGGUGUUCGGAUCGUAAAACUCUGUUAUUAGGAAGAAACAAAUGUGUAAGUAACUAUGCACGUCUUGACGGUACCUAAUCAGAAAGCCACGGCUAACUACGUG